rnacentral:rRNA from 1 species
AGAAAUCGGCAGCUAUACAUGCAGUCGAGGGGUAAAUAUGUAGCAAUAUAUAUGAGACCGGCGCACGGGUGCGUAACACGUAUGCAACCUACCUUUUACUGGGGAAUAGCUCAGAGAAAUCUGAAUUAAUACCCCAUAACACUGCGAUUGGGCAUCCAAUAGCAGUUAAAGCUCCGGCGGUAAAAGAUGGGCAUGCGGAACAUUAGCUAGUUGGUGAGGUAAUGGCUCACCAAGGCUACGAUGUUUAGGGGGUCUGAGAGGAUGAUCCCCCACACUGGUACUGAGACACGGACCAGACUCCUACGGGAGGCAGCAGUAGGGAAUAUUGGUCAAUGGACGCAAGUCUGAACCAGCCAUGCCGCGUGCAGGAUGACUGUCCUAUGGAUUGUAAACUGCUUUUUUACGGGAAGAAACCUCUGGAUGCGUCCGGAGCUGACGGUACCGUAAGAAUAAGGAUCGGCUAACUUCGUGCCAGCAGCCGCGGUAAGACGAAGGAUUCAAACGUUGUCCGGAUUUACUGGGUUUAAAGGGUGCGUAGGCGGAAAUCUAAGUCAGUGGUGAAAUCCCGCAGCUUAACUGCGGAACUGCCAUUGAAACUGGUUUUCUUGAAUACAGUGGAGGUAGAUGGAAUAUAACAUGUAGCGGUGAAAUGCUUAGAUAUGUUAUAGAACACCGAUUGCGAAGGCAGUCUGCUACACUGUCAUUGACGCUGAGGCACGAAAGCGUGGGGAGCGAACAGGAUUAGAUACCCUGGUAGUCCACGCCCUAAACGUUGAUUACUCGCUGUUGGCGAUACACUGUCAGCGGCUAAGCGAAAGCGUUAAGUAAUCCACCUGGGAAGUACGUCCGCAAGGAUGAAACUCAAAGGAAUUGACGG